rnacentral:lncRNA from 1 species
AGAGGCCCUCUGCCUCGAAAAUCAGAUGUCUCUUGUUCUUGUUUUGCUUUGAUGUAAUUGUAAAGGGGAAAGUGGAAGAGCACAGCUCCCCUGUUUGAACAUGUUGAGCAACCAGCAUUCACCCACAUGGAUUUAUUGUCAUACAACAGGACACUUGGCAAGUACGCAAUGGGGAGGAGGAGGGAAGAUGUUCAGAGGGAGGCAGAGAAGCAGAGAAGGUAGAAGAAGACAGGAGGAUCUGCUCCAAACAAGCAAGUUACACCAUUCACGCCACACGCAAUCAAAAGAAUACCCCUUCCCGCACUCUGAGCCCUCACCUACCCUAAAGUUGGUGACCCUUCCUUCACACACCUUCCUGACAGGAUGA